rnacentral:rRNA from 3 species
GAUUGAACGCUGGCGGCAGGCUUAACACAUGCAAGUCGAGCGGAGAGAAGUAGCUUGCUACUGAUCUUAGCGGCGGACGGGUGAGUAAUACUUAGGAAUCUGGCUAUUAGUGGGGGACAACAUUUCGAAAGGGAUGCUAAUACCGCAUACGUCCUACGGGAGAAAGCAGGGGAUCAGUAAUGACCUUGCGCUAAUAGAUGAGCCUAAGUCGGAUUAGCUAGUUGGUGGGGUAAAGGCCUACCAAGGCGACGAUCUGUAGCGGGUCUGAGAGGAUGAUCCGCCACACUGGGACUGAGACACGGCCCAGACUCCUACGGGAGGCAGCAGUGGGGAAUAUUGGACAAUGGGGGGAACCCUGAUCCAGCCAUGCCGCGUGUGUGAAGAAGGCCUUAUGGUUGUAAAGCACUUUAAGCGAGGAGGAGGGUACUGGUAUUAAUACUACCAGCUACUGGACGUUACUCGCAGAAUAAGCACCGGCUAACUCU